UACGGCCACAUCACGUUGAAAACAUUAGUUCCCGUACGAUCACCGAAGUUAAGCAACGUGGAGCCUGCUCAGUAGCUGGAUGGGUAACUGCUUGGGAAUACCAGGUUCUGUAAG